rnacentral:rRNA from 1 species
GACGAACGCUGGCGGCGUGCUUAACACAUGCAAGUCGAACGGAAAGGCCCUGCUUUUGUGGGGUGCUCGAGUGGCGAACGGGUGAGUAACACGUGAGUAACCUGCCCUUGACUUUGGGAUAACUUCAGGAAACUGGGGCUAAUACCAGAUAGGAGCUCCUGCUGCAUGGUGGGGGUUGGAAAGUUUCGGCGGUUGGGGAUGGACUAGCGGAUUAUGAGGUUGUUGGUGGGGUAGUGGCUUACCAAGGCUUUGACGGGUAGCCGGCCUGGUCGGGUAACCGGCCACAUUACGACUGAGAUACGACACAGACUCCUACGCUACGCAACAGUGCAGAAUAUUGCACAAUAGACGGAAGCCUGAUGCAACACCGCCGCGCCCGGUAUGACGUCCUUCGGUUUGUAAACCACUUUCCCCUUUCACGAAGCGUUAAUGACGGUAAUGGGUAAAUAAGCACCGGCUAACUACGUG